CUGGCGGGAGCCGUCCCUGGCUGGCUCGGCAGCUCCAGGCUAUUCCGAGGAAGAGUCUUCAGAGAGCCUGGAAGGACAUGUUGCAGAAGAAAUGCAAGUACAGUGAAGAAUAAGACUGGGGAACUUUUACAAUUCAGAGUGGCCUUCACUGUGGGUGGUCUGAAUUGAUGCUUGUAUACAGAGGACAAUGAAUCCAGGCAGUGAUCCACCAAUGAUAACUAACAUCAUAAAAAGAUACAUGGCCGGAUAUGAUGUUCCUUCUGACGGAAGACCACAACACCAGCUGAAAAAUCAAACCUGAAUCGGAUCAAGCCUCUAGAGAAAGCAGCACCCAGGGUCAUUCCUGGAGCAUAAACGAUCCCUGCAGAACAUGGGCUAGAAGACCCCACAGUGGGGUAGAGGCAGGUCCUGGACUGGGAUCCCAGCAGUGAGAAGACCUGGACAUCAACCCUAUUUCAUUGUGUGGCCUCUGCAAAUCUCCCAACUUUUGGAGCUGUAGCUGCAAGCUUAGACUUGUGGUUUCCUGUACCUGGAGGAGGCCCAGGUCAUUCUGUUAAGUCCCUUGUCUAUUUCCUGUUUUUAUCUGGAUGCUGAG
rnacentral:lncRNA from 1 species